UCCGGCUUAUCACCGGCAGUCCCCUUAGAGUGCCCAACUAAAUGAUGGCAACUAAGGGCGAGGGUUGCGCUCGUUGCGGGACUUAACCCAACAUCUCACGACACGAGCUGACGACAGCCAUGCAGCACCUGUGUUCCGGUUCUCUUUCGAGCACUCCCGCCUCUCAGCAGGAUUCCAGACAUGUCAAGGGUAGGUAAGGUUGUUCGCGUUGCAUCGAAUUAAUCCACAUCAUCCACCGCUUGUGCGGGUCCCCGUCAAUUCCUUUGAGUUUUAACCUUGCGGCCGUACUCCCCAGGCGGUCAACUUCACGCGUUAGCUUCGGUACUCAGGAAUCGCUUCCCGAACACCCAGUUGACAUAGUUUAGGGCGUGGACUAC
rnacentral:misc_RNA from 1 species